rnacentral:snoRNA from 1 species
AUUUGUUUCUUAUUGAUGACGCAUAGUUCAUUUGAUUCAACUAUGAGAACUAACCGAACUACGAAAUGGUCUUUCGCUCCUAUCUGAAAAUAUAA